rnacentral:rRNA from 1 species
CCUACGGGUGGCAGCAGUGGGGAAUCUUGCGCAAUGGGCGAAAGCCUGACGCAGCGACGCCGCGUGAGUGAUGAAGGUCUUCGGAUCGUAAACCUCUGUCAGCAGGGAAGAACGGUCACUGUGCUAAUCAGCCGUGAAUUGACGGUACCUGCAAAGGAAGCACCGGCUAACUCCGUGCCAGCAGCCGCGGUAAUACGGAGGGUGCGAGCGUUAACCGGAAUUAUUGGGCGUAAAGCGCUCGUAGGCGGUAUGUCAAGUCAAGGGUGAAAUCCCCGGGCUCAACGUGGGAACUGCCUUUGAAACUGGCAAACUGGAGUGUGUGAGAGGAGAGUGGAAUUCCAGGUGUAGGAGUGAAAUCCGUAGAUAUCUGGAGGAACAUCAGUGGCGAAGGCGACUAUCUGGCACGUAACUGACGCUGAGGAGCGAAAGCGUGGGUAGCAAACAGGAUUAGAUACCCUUGUAGUC